UGUGCCUAAUGAUUAAAAAAAUAAUUCAAAAGAUCUAGUUCAACAGAUGAAAAUAAAACUAAGAAAGUAACUACACCAGAAAAUUUAGGAGAAUUCCUCCAAGAAGCUUGGUAAAAAAGCAGCACAGAGAAAUCAGUCAAGCUACCUGCUCCCAAACAACUGGAAAAGAGGUAACUAACAGCAUCCCAGUUCAAUACACAAGAAGGGAGAAACAAAGUUCCAAGCUUAACUUUGUUUCAAAUUUACCAAGAAAAAAGUCACCAAUGCCCAGGAAAACACAACCCCAGUUCAAUUCACACAAAGGGAGAACCUAAGUCCCAAGCUUUGCUUCAAAAUUACCAACAGAAAAAAAAAAAAGGCACUAAUGUCCAAAAAAACACAAUCCCAGUUCAACAUACUCAAAGGGAGAAACAAAGUUCCAAGCUUUGCUUCAAAAUUACAAAGAAAAGUGUCACCAAUGUCCAAGAAAACACAACCCCAGUUCAAUACACACAAAGGGAGAAACAAAGUUCCAAACUUUGCUUCAAAAUUACAAGGAAAACUCCACCAAUGUCCAAGAAAACACAACCCCAGUUCAAUUCACACAAAGGAAGAACCAAAGUUCCAAACUUUGCUUCAAAAUUACCAAAAAAAAGUGCCACCGGUGUCCAAGAAAACACAAUCCCAGUUAAUACACACAAAGGAAGAACCAAAGUUCCAAACUUUGCUUCAAAAUUACCAAAAAAAAAAAAAAAAAAGUGCCACCAAUGUCCAAGAAAACACAAUCCCAGUUCAAUACACACAAAGGAAGAACCAAAGUUCCAAACUUUGCUUCAAAAUUACAAAGAAAAGUGCCACCAAUGUCCAAGAAAACACAAUCCCAGUUCAAUACACACAAAGGAAGAACCAAAGUUCCAAACUUUGCUUCAAAAUUACAAAGAAAAG